GGGCGUGUAGCUCAGUUGGGAGAGCGCCACCCUUACAAGGUGGAUGUCGGGAGUUCGAGCCUCUCCACGCCCA
rfam:Motiliproteus sp. MSK22-1 scaffold46_cov2397_read212, whole genome shotgun sequence.